rnacentral:rRNA from 1 species
AGAGUUUGAUCAUGGCUCAGGAUGAACGCUAGCGGCAGGCUUAAUACAUGCAAGUCGAGGGGUAACAUGGGUAGCAAUACCUGAUGACGACCGGCAAACGGGUGCGGAACACGUACGCAACCUUCCCAUAACUGGUGAAUAGCCUUUCGAAAGAGAGAUUAAUACACCGUAACAUAACGAGUAGGCAUCUACUUGUUAUUAUAGGCUUCGGCCGGUUUUGGAUGGGCGUGCGCCUGAUUAGGUAGUUGGCGGGGUAACGGCCCACCAAGCCUGCGAUCAGUAACUGGUGUGAGAGCACGACCAGUCACACGGGCACUGAGACACGGGCCCGACUCCUACGGGAGGCAGCAGUAAGGAAUAUUGGUCAAUGGACGAAAGUCUGAACCAGCCAUGCCGCGUGAAGGAUGAAGGCCCUCUGGGUUGUAAACUUCUUUUAUCUGGGACGAAAAAAGCUCAUUCUUGAGCACUUGACGGUACCAGAGGAAUAAGCACCGGCUAACUCCGUGCCAGCAGCCGCGGUAAUACGGAGGGUGCAAGCGUUAUCCGGAUUCACUGGGUUUAAAGGGUGCGUAGGUGGGUUGGUAAGUCAGUGGUGAAAUCUCCGAGCUUAACUCGGAAACUGCCAUUGAUACUAUCAAUCUUGAAUCAUCUGGAGGUAAGCGGAAUAUGUCAUGUAGCGGUGAAAUGCUUAGAUAUGACAUAGAACACCAAUUGCGAAGGCAGCUUACUACGGGUGCAUUGACACUGAGGCACGAAAGCGUGGGGAUCAAACAGGAUUAGAUACCCUAGUAGUCC